AUAAUCAGUAUAUUAUAAGCAGCACCUACCUAUCGUCACUUACACGUAGUCGAAUGCUCUACUUUGUAUCGUGUUCAUGACGCAACUUAUUAAAUUGCUAUGGCGGAGAAUUAGUGUGUGAUUAAAUCUAUUUAUUAUUUUGCUCCGUCAUUGCGUUAGUAUAAAGUUUAAUUCGGUCUUUAAAAAAAAAAUCAUGGAUAGUAAUAAAGAUGAGGCGGAGCGAUGUAUGGAACUUGCAGAACUAUAUCUACGAGAAAAAAAGUACGAGGAAGCAGAAAAAUUUGUACGUAAAGCAUUAAAACUAUAUCCAAUGAAAAAAGCAGAAGAUGUGUUAGCAAAAGUGACAAUGUUAUCAAAGCAAAAUCAAAAGUCUGAAUCUGAACCUACACUUAGGAAACGUCAAACUGCAUCUAAAGAAACCACACAUACUCAAGCUUCUAGUGAUUAUACAAAGGAACAACUUGAACACAUUAAAAGAAUCAAAAAAUGUAAAGAUUAUUAUGAAAUUUUGGGUGUAAAUAAAGAUGCAACUGAUAGUGAUAUUAAGAAGGCAUAUAAAAAAUUAGCACUUCAGUUACAUCCAGAUAAAAAUAAAGCACCAGGUGCUGCUGAAGCCUUUAAAGCUAUUGGAAAUGCUGUUGCUAUAUUGACUGAUGUCGAAAAGAGAAAGCAGUAUGAUAUGUAUGGUCCUGAGGAAGAAAGACUUCAAAGUGCUCAAGCUCAUCAAAAUCACUCACAUUAUAAUUAUACAAGAGGAUUUGAAACUGAUAUAACAGCAGAAGAAUUAUUUAGUAUGUUCUUUGGAGGUGGAUUUCCACAACAAGAAUUUUAUAUGAGACGUUCUGGUAGAUGGGCAAGACAACAAGAUGCACAAGCUCAACAUGCUCACUCUCAACAAGCAAAUGGAUAUACCACAUUCCUUCAAAUGUUACCUGUGCUAUUAUUAAUAUUGUUAACUAUGAUGAGCAGUUUCUUUAUAUCAGAUCCUGUAUAUAGCUUGCAUUCUAACGCAGUGAUUGAUUUGUAUGAAAGGGAUUAUAUGCACAUUUUAAAUUUGUGCGCAGAAAAUAUUCUGUACUGAGAACAACUCAAGGAUUAAAGGUGCCCUACUAUGUCAAAGAAAACUUUCAUACUGAAUAUCAAGGCAGCUUACGUAGACUAGAAAUUUCUGUUGAAGAAGAAUACCUGAAUAAUUUGAGACAUGCCUGUUUUAGAGAGAAAAGUUAUAGAGAAACAAUGAUGUGGAAAGCAAGAAACUUUGGAGAUCAAGAAUUAUUUUUCAAAGCUAAAAAUAUUGAAACACCUUCAUGUAAGAAGGUACAAGAAUUACAAGGAGCAUAGCGACGUUAUGUUAUUGAAUAGAAUUUUGUUGUAGAUAGGUGUAUAUUAUAUUUACACAUGUGUAGUUACUAUUGGAUGAAAUGAAGAAUAUCAAACAUUAUAAUACAUAUGCGAAUAUAUUAUAUAUCUUCGCAUCAAAAUUGAUAAAUGAUAUUCUUCUUGAUCCAUGAAUUUUUACAUAGGCCGUUUAAGCUGUUUGUUCCAUAUAUUCAAAUUGUAAAUUAAUAUAGGAUUCAUUAUAGUAGCGAGUAUGAUGAAUUCCAAUGGUAUAUGAAUCUAUCAUAUGAUAUAAUUAAGGUAACAUAUUUCAAAUUCAUUAGAUUGAAUCAUAUAAUUUUAAAAUAUAAAAAUCAUAUGUUGA
rnacentral:misc_RNA from 1 species